AUGCCUUAAACUGAUGAGUAAGGAAAAUAACGACGCGGGGUGACGCCCGUGUCCUCGCCCAGAUUUGCGAGAACAAUUUUUAAAAGGGCACAGGUCCGUCUGUUAGGUGACUCGCCUACUUUGUGAGAUGCCUCGCAGGUAGUAGAUCUGCCCU